rnacentral:lncRNA from 1 species
ACCAGGAGGAGGUUGGAUGGAUGGCGGACGUAGCGGCCCGACAUGGUUGUCGACGCGGCUUGGUUUGUGAAUUGGUGAGGGAGUCUGGGUCUGGAACACAUGCUGCUGUGGCCACGAGUGGCGGGAUUGGUGGCGGACUGGCCGUGGACCGGCCGGAGCGGGGCGCGUCCUGCACGGUGGUCCCAGAGGCUGUGGGAGACUUCCCAGUGGUGGGGGGCAUCCUGAGAAGGAGGCGGGCUGGAUGCGCCUACAGGAGACCCCCCACGAUUUUUGGCAUGUUGCGGAGCGGGGGGGAUGGGAGGGGUGAAUGUCGG